GUAGGUGAACCUGCGGAAGGAUCAUUACACUCAGUAGUUUACUACUGUAAAGGAGGCUGUCAGUCUGUAUAGCUUAAUCGCUGAUGAGCAGCUGGUCUCUUUUGUCUACCCUUGUCUUUUGCGCACCCAUGUUUCCUCGGUAGGCUUGCCUGCCGGCUGGACAAAUCUAUAACCCUUUUAAUUUUCAAUCAGCGUCUGAAAAAACUUAAUAAUUACAACUUUCAACAACGGAUCUCUUGGUUCUG
rnacentral:misc_RNA from 1 species